rfam:Endosymbiont of Acanthamoeba sp. TWC8 chromosome, complete genome.
GCUAAAGUAUAAAAAGAGCAUUUGGUGAAUGCCUUGGCGACAGGAGGCGAUGAAAGACGUGAUAGGCUGCGAUAAGCUACGGGGAAGUGCCAAUAACUUUUGAUCCGUAGAUGUCUGAAUGGGGAAACCCACUGAAUUUAUUCAGUAUCUUUGAGUGAAUAAAUAGCUUAAAGAAGCGAACCUAGGGAACUGAAAUAUCUAAGUACCUAGAGGAAAGGAAAUCAACCGAGACUCCGCUAGUAGUGACGAGCGAACGCGGACUAGGCCAGUAUCUUUAUCAUAAAAACUAGAAUAUUCUGGAAAGGAUAGCUAUAAAGGGUGAUAGCCCCGUAUAGGUAAAAAGUGAUGAAGAUCUCGAGUAGGGCGGGGCACGUGAAACCUUGUCUGAAUAUGGGGAGACCACUCUCCAAGCCUAAGUACUACCUGACGACCGAUAGUGAACAAGUACUGUGAAGGAAAGGUAAAAAGAACCCCGAUAAGGGGAGUGAAAUAGAACCUGAAACCAAAUGCUUACAAGCAGUCGGAGCAGCCUUUCUCGCAAGAGAAUGUGUUGUGACGGCGUACCUCUUGUAUAAUGGGUCAGCGACUUAGUGUAUCUAGCAAGGUUAAGCCGAUAGGUGUAGCCGUAGUGAAAGCGAGCCUUAAUAGGGCGUUAAGUUAGGUGCAUUAGACCCGAAACCGGGUGAUCUAGUUAUGAGCAGGCUGAAGUUAGGGUGAAACCUAACGGAGGGCCGAACCCAUCACUGUUGCAAAAGUGAGGGAUGACUUGUGACUAGGGGUGAAAGGCCAAUCAAACUCGGAAAUAGCUGGUUCUCCGCGAAAUCUAUUUAGGUAGAGCGUUGUCUAUUACCAUCGGGGGUAGAGCACUGGAUCGGCUAGGGGGGCCCAAAGCCCUACCAAACCUAACCAAACUCCGAAUACCGAUGAGUAGAGGACAGCAGGCAGGCUGUGGGUGAUAAGAUCCAUGGCCGAGAGGGAAACAGCCCAGACCGCCGUCUAAGGUCCCCAAAUUAUGGUUAAGUGUUAAAGGAUGUGGGAAUGCCAAAACAACUAGGAGGUUAGCUUAGAAGCAGCUAUCCUUUAAAGAAAGCGUAACAGCUCACUAGUCUAAUAGCGAUCCUGCGCCGAAAAUGUAACGGGGCUAAAACCAUAUACCGAAGACGCGGGUUUAUAUUCUUUAGAAUAUAAGCGGUAGCGGAGCGUUGUGUAAGCCUGUGAAGGUGUGUCGUAAGGCAUGCUGGAGGUAUCACAAGUGAGAAUGCUGACAUGAGUAGCGUAAAAAAAUGUAAGAAACAUUUUCGCCGAAAGUCCAAGGGUUCCUACGUAAAGUUAAUCUGCGUAGGGUUAGCCGGCCCCUAAGGCGAGGCCGAAAGGCGUAGUCGAUGGGAACCACGUUAAUAUUCGUGGGCCUGCUGGAAGUGACGAAGGCUGAAAGUUGUACUGGGUGAUUGGAUUCCAUGGUGCAACCUAAGACUUCCAGGAAAUAACUCCAGCGUAUAAGACCGUACCCCAAACCGACACUGGUGGACUGGUAGAGUAUACCAAGGCGUAGAGAGAAUGAUGUUGAAGGAACUAGACAAAUUGCAUCCGUAACUUCGGGAUAAGGAUGGCCUUACUUAGGCAACUAAGAUAAGGUGGCACAUAGCAGGGGGUAGCGACUGUUUAUCAAAAACACAAGACUAUGCAAACUCGUAAGAGGAAGUAUAUGGUCUGACGCCUGCCCGGUGCUGGAAGGUUAAGGUGAGGUGUGCAAGCACUGAGCUGAAGCCCCAGUAAACGGCGGCCGUAACUAUGACGGUCCUAAGGUAGCGAAAUUCCUUGUCGGGUAAGUUCCGACCUGCAUGAAUGGCGUAACGACUUCCCCAUUGUCUCCAACAUUAACUCAGCGAAAUUGAAAUCUCCGUGAAGAUGCGGAGUGCCCGCGGUUAGACGGAAAGACCCCGUGAACCUUUACUAUAACUUUGCAGUGGUGUUAGGGGUUUGAUGUGUAGGAUAGGUGGGAGACUAUGAAGCGAUGGCGCUAGCUGUCGUGGAGUCGCCCUUGAAAUACCACCCUUCAAACUUUUGACAUCUAACCAAACCUCUUGAAUCAGGGGUUGGGACCCUGCAUGGUGGGUAGUUUGACUGGGGCGGUCGCCUCCCAAAGCGUAACGGAGGCGUGCGAAGGUAAGCUCAGGUUGGUCGGAAAUCAACUGUUAGAGUGCAAUGGCAUAAGCUUGCCUGACUGCGAGACUGACAAGUCGAGCAGAGACGAAAGUCGGUCAUAGUGAUCUGGUGGUUCUGUGUGGAAGGGCCAUCACUCAACGGAUAAAAGGUACUCCGGGGAUAACAGGCUGAUGAGCUCCAAGCGUCCAUAGCGACGAGCUCGUUUGGCACCUCGAUGUCGACUCAUCACAUCCUGGGGCUGGAGAAGGUCCCAAGGGUUCGGCUGUUCGCCGAUUAAAGUGGUACGUGAGUUGGGUUCAGAACGUCGUGAGACAGUUUGGUCCCUAUCUGCCGUGGGUGUAAGGAAAAUUGAGAGAAUCUGACUUUAGUACGAGAGGACCGAGUUGGACGUACCACUGGUGUACCAGUUGUUCUGCCAAGAGCAACGCUGGGUAGCUAUGUACGGAAGGGAUAACCGCUGAAAGCAUCUAAGUGGGAAACCCAUCUCAAAACUAAUUUUCCCAACUAGUGCCGUCAAAGACCAUGACGUUGAUAGGUCGGGUGUGUAAGUGGAGCAAUCCAUUGAGCUAACCGAUACUAAUAGCACGAUUGACUUUAGCUG